AUCAUAUCACAAAGAAUUGGAUUACCCUGGUGGAUAAGAAACUGAGCUGCACCAUCCUGUCCCUGACUGAGGCAGACGGUCAAACCACCAUAACCUUCUGGAGAUCUAUCCAAUCAUGUGAUGAGGAUGACUUCCACAUCACCGAAAGAACAUGGACACAAUGCAAUUGGGAUCAAGAAGAAGAUCUUCUCAGAAAUUAAUAAAGUCCAUGUAAUGGAUAUAGACAAAAAGAUAAUUCAAGGACAAUCCGAGGUAGAGAGGCGAGGCAGGGGUGAGGACAUCAUCCUGCUAUUUUGACAGUCCCUGAAGGACAAUACAGAAGAGGACUUGAGACCACAGCAGCGAUCCUGCUCUUGCCCUACCUCUUCAAUGAGGACCAGUGGCCUUUGCACAAAUGAUCUGUUUCUUCAUAAACAUAGGUUUCACCGCUCUUCACUCCUUUACUGCACAUUGGCAGAAAUCCAUUUCACCAUGAAAGUGAAAUCAUGCUGGCCUUUGAUGGGGAGAACAUCCACGCCCUAGAGAACAUCCCUAUGGGACUUGGGGCUCUGUUAGGGCUGUAUUUUUUCCCCCGUUAAAUUUCCCAAAAAUGUCAGAAAAACAUUAUGCUCUUAAAGUUACUGUGCUCUGGGGAUAAGACAAUUUGGGGUGAAGUUACCAGGGCCGGUCAUAAAGAUGACAAACUUCCUAACAUAACUAAGUGGUUGUUGGGCAUGUGGUUGUUAGUCACACACACACACUAAAGCUAAAAAAUCUGUAUUUAGCAUCAAGUCUACAAUAUUGUUAGUUUACCUAUGAUUCAUUUUAAUGUAUGUUGUUUUUAUUGUACAUCAUUAUUAAAAAAAAACAUUUUAAAUGUAAUAAAAAGCACUAUACAAAGUAAA